GACGAACGCUGGCGGCGUGCCUAAUACAUGCAAGUAGAACGCAGUUGCGAACGGGUGAGUAACGCGUAGGUAACUGCCUCAUAGCGGGGGAUAACUAUUGGAAACGAUAGCUAAUACCGCAUACUGUGAGAUAGACCUGCGUUGUAUUAGCUAGUUGGUGAGGUAAAGGCUCACCAAGGCGACGAUCCAUAGCCGACGUGAGAGGGUUAUCGGACUAACUUGGACUGAUGCACUGCCCAGACUCCUAAGGGAGGCCGCAGUAGGGAAUCUUCGCAAAAGGACGGAAGUCUGACCGAGCAUGGCCGCGGGGGUGAAGAAGGUUUUCGGGUGGUAAAGCUCUGUUGUUAGAGAAGCGAUAACGAACCAGAGAGGGACGGCUAACUACGUGCCAGCAGCAGCGGUAAUAC
rnacentral:rRNA from 1 species